UGGCCUCGCCCCGCCCCCUGGAGCCAGGACGGAGCGUGCGCAGAAGAUCAGGUGCGCUGAGCCCUCCUCCUCUGGGUAGAAUCAGCCUAGAGGAUUGACAGGUGUGUUAAAGCAAAAUCUGACUCUGCCUGCUUCCAGCUUCACAGUAGCCUCAGGCUCCGAGUGAGAAAACCAAGACCCAAAAUGGUGAUUUGUCCGAGCCCUCGGAGCCACUGAGACUUACACUCUGCCUGGCCUGGCGAUGAAGCACAGGGAAUAGAGGGCGAACUCAAACUCAGGGCUGCUGCCGAUGAAAGCUGAGCCCACUUCCUUGUAGUAGCCGUCCCAGUUGAACUGCAUGGCCAGCACAUCAGGAUACUCCAGAAGAGACCGGUCCUCAAAACCAGCCCCCUUGGCCUGGAAGGAGACAUGUCCCGCCCUGCGUCUGAACGGGCUAGGCUGCUGCUGCCUCGGAGCUGCCCUGCGCCUGAGGGAAGCAUCUCUCACCACCCUUUCACCUUUCUUUCCAAGCACAGUAACCCCACCUGAGAAGACGUGUUCAAAGCCACUGGAGUCGCCCUCUUCACUGCCUCUUGAGUACAGCCCAAACCACAUGUUUUUCAAGUCGUCGACGAACUCCUGUUCCGAGCUGUAGCGAUCUGGAGAGAGGGACACAGAAGACUUAGGAGAGGGGACGGUGGGGCCAGAUCCUGGGAAGCACAGAAGGGCCGCCUGCUCCAGCUCAAGAGUCAUGUGGGGGUCAGCGAACAAAUGUAUUCCAUUAUUCAUUUAACAAUGAUCAGUGGGGCACCUAUUUUGUGCCAGGCCCAAAUCUAAAGGCCGAGGCUUUAGCAGGGAAUCACAAAGACACGAUACCCGUCUUCAGCAUUUACACCACCGUGGAGGAGACACAUAAUAGGCAAAUAAACAAUAUGAUUUCAGGUACGUGCUGCGAGGAAAAUAAA